rnacentral:lncRNA from 1 species
UUACUUAACCUUCUCUCUAUUUUCUUAUCUUCUUUUUUCAUGUGUGAGAGAUUUUCCAACACUAGAAUACAAGCAUGAGUUGCAACGGUUGCAGAGUUCUUCGAAAGGGUUGCAGUGACUCAUGUAUUUUGCGACCUUGUUUACAAUGGAUCGAAACCCCUGAAGCUCAAGGCCACGCCACUGUUUUCGUAGCCAAAUUCUUUGGUCGCGCUGGUCUCAUGUCUUUCAUUUCCAACGUCCCUGAAACUCAAAGACCAGGUAAUUAAUUCAUUAAUUAAUUAUUCAAUUUAAUUCAUUUUAAACUUUAAUUACUAACUCUGGUAAUAAUGCUUCUUUGUUUGUUCUCUAUGCAGCUCUCUUUCAG